ACAGCAUCCCCCAAAACAAAGCCUCCCAUCUGAUAAUGCUCGCUGUUCACCAACUCAUCCUGGUGUCCAGUGCAGUAAUCACUAUAAGUAGUAGUAUCGGUAUCUGCCCAAUUAUGUGGUAUUGGUAUCGUUAUCAGAAUCGGCCAAAAUUUUGGUAUCGGUACAUCUUUAAUUUGAGACAGAUUUGGCAUGUUAUGAAGGCAUUUUAAGGCAGUUUGUCAUGUUUUGAGGACAUUUUAAGACAGUUUGGUAUGUUUUGAGGGCAUUUUAAGAUAGUUUGCCAGGUUUUGAGGAAAUUAUAAGACAGUUUGAUUUGUUUUGAUGACAUUUUAAGAUAGUUUGUCAUGUUUUGAAGACAUUUAAGACAGUUUGGCAUGUUUUGAUAGGAUUUUAAGACAGUUUUGCAUGUUUUGAGGUCAGUUAAAAAAGUUUGACAUGUUUUAACGGCAUUUGAGUUGCAUUCAGUUCCGUUUACAAAAUAGUGAAGGUGACUCAAUGUGUUUACAUUGAGUCACCUUCACCUCUCAUUACAGGAAAGUCAAGUCCCUGAAUGCUGCCAAGGAGACACACUGCUGCUGGAACACUGCACCACCAAGCUAAGCCAAGCCAAGCCAAGCCAAGCCAAGCCAAGUCAAGCCACAACACAACACAAACCUUCUACAACACCUACAGCCAUCAGCAACACCCAGAGUACAAGACAAUACCUGGAGCCAUAAAGAACAGUUAGAUUGCACAAGUAAACUGCUACAGACAGGAUAAGGAUCACUGCAGAGGUGUCAGCCAACCAGUCAGUCACUCAGCCAGUCUGUCAGUCAGCCAGCCAGCACCCAUUCAUUAAGGGCAAGUUCCUCUGCAUGGGACUGUCACAUAAGAAGGAAGUGUUGACCAGACAUGGAGCGGACCCCAACGGUACAUGUGAGGCGGGCUGGUGGCUGGGGAAGGUCCUCUGCAUGGGACUGUCACAUGAGAAGGGAGUGUUGACCAGACAUGGAGCAGACCCCAGCGGUACCUGUGAGGUGGGCUGGUGGCUGGUGAGGGGUCGUGGCUGCUGGUCUUGACAAGGUCGCUUCAGCAGUGUCUGUGAGCCUGCACCCCGGCACUGGACAGCUCCGAGGAGAACGGCUCCAGCAGCAGCAGCAUACACACAAGGCAGGCAUCACCAUUGAAGAAGCCUUUAGUCAGCCUUCACUAUUUUACUCCCUUUAAUACUGGGAUACAUUUUUUACCUUUUUUCAUUACCAUGUGGGCUUUUCAUAGGAAUUUAUGGGCUAAAGAGGAUACUUUUUUAGGGUACCUCCUAUCUCAAAGCCCACCUGCUAGGAAACUAUUGCCUCGAGUAAGAAAGCCCUACCUACACUCGGACCGUGGACAGGAUUUGAACCAGUGUGCUUGGAGACCACCUCGGACCACAAAGCAUGCAUAGAUCCACUGUACCACGGAUUUGUGUAUCAUCAGACCAAUUUGUUGACAUGAGGAAGGGUUUAUGGAUGUCAGAGGAUUAAUAUAGGCAGUGAGUGUCAUGCGGAGGACUCGGCAAGCAGCAUGGGUCAUCUCUAACAAAACACUUACAAUACUCUGCCAAAAAAAAUUAUACUUCUACGCUCACCGUUUUAUAAUUUGUUUUAGUGUUUUAGUAUAUUUAUUUCACUGCUUCACUUUUUAUUUUAUUUUAUUUUAUUUGUUUCCUCAAGACAAAAUUGUGUGUUGAGUGAUUUGUUUUCUUAUUUAUGUUGAUGUUUUUAUUAGGCAUAUUUUACACACACACACACCUACCUCUCUUCAGUAAUGGGACACAUUUUUACCUUGAGAUUUGUGUACCAUUACACCAUUUUUUUGACAUCAGGAAGGGCCUAAGGAGGUCACAAGAUUAAUGGCCUCACUUUUCACUAUUCUAACCCCUUCAGUACUGGGACACUUUUUUACCUUGAGAUUUACAUAAAUUAGACCAU